AUAUCAGUCAUGCAUAGCAUAUCAAUAAGCGGAGGAAAAGAAACUAACAAGGAUUCCCUUAGUAACGGCGAGUGAAGCGGGAAGAGCUCAAAUUUGAAAUCUUCAAGGUUUUACCUUGACGAAUUGUAGUUUAAAGAAGUGUUUUCUGUUGAAGUUUUGGUAAAAGUUCUUUGGAAUAGGACAUCAUAGAGGGUGAGAAUCCCGUAUUUGACCAUUACUUUCAGCUUUGUGAUACACUUUCAAAGAGUCGGAUUGUUUGGGAAUGCAGUCCAAAAUGGGUGGUAAAUUUCAUCUGAAGCUAAAUAUUGGCGAGAGACCGAUAGCGAACAAGUACCGUGAGGGAAAGAUGAAAAGAACUUUGAAAAGAGAGUUAAACAGUACGUGAAAUUGUCAAAAGGGAAGCGUUUGACACCAGUGUUGUUUUCUCGAAAAUCAAUUAAAAAGAGUUGGAUUUUGUGUUGUAUUGACUUUAUCAGCUUUCUUCACUCUUUUCCAGCUUUUUUUAAUGCACUUUUCGUUUAACAAGUCAACAUCAGUUUCUUUUGUUGUAAAAAGGUCAUUGGAAGGUGGCUUUCUCUUCGGAGAAAGUGUUUAUAGCCUUUGACUCAUGCAAUCGGAGAGACUGAGGUCUGCAGCGUAGAUCCUUCGGGGUUAGAUACAUUUGUGCUAAGUUAUAGCUUUUCAUAGACAACUUGUUGACUAUGUUUAGUCUUGUAGCUUACUCGCUUAUGCUAUUUUACCUACGCUUAGGAUGUUGAACUCUAUCACACACA
rnacentral:rRNA from 1 species